UAGUCCACGCCGUAAACGAUGUGCACUAGGCUUGGGGGGAUUGACCCCUUCUGAGCCGUAGCUAACGCGUUAAGUGCACCGCCUGGGAAGUACGGUCGCAAGACUAAAACUCAAAGGAAUUGACGGGGCCCGCACAAGCGGUGGAUUAUGUGGUUUAAUUCGACGCAACGCGCAGAACCUUACCUAGGCUUGAAAUCCUCAGAAUCUGGUGGAAACACCGGAGUGCUCUUCGGAGAAUUGAGUGACAGGCGCUGCAUGGCUGUCGUCAGCUCGUGUCGUGAGAUGUUGGGUUAAGUCUCGCAACGAGCGCAACCCCUAUCCUUAGUUGCCAGCAUUAAGUUGGGUACUCUGGGGAAACUGCCGGUGACAAGCCGGAGGAAGGUGGGGAUGACGUCAAGUCCUCAUGGGCCCUUACGGGGCUGGGGCUAC
rnacentral:rRNA from 1 species